GGGUUGUGAGGUUAAGCGACUAAGCGUACACGGUGGAUGCCCUGGCAGUCAGAGGCGAUGAAGGACGUGCUAAUCUGCGAUAAGCGUCGGUAAGGUGAUAUGAACCGUUAUAACCGGCGAUUUCCGAAUGGGGAAACCCAGUGUGAUUCGUCACACUAUCAUUAACUGAAUCCAUAGGUUAAUGAGGCGAACCGGGGGAACUGAAACAUCUAAGUACCCCGAGGAAAAGAAAUCAACCGAGAUUCCCCCAGUAGCGGCGAGCGAACGGGGAGGAGCCCAGAGCCUGAAUCAGUGUGUGUGUUAGUGGAAGCGUCUGGAAAGGCGCGCGAUACAGGGUGACAGCCCCGUACACAAAAAUGCACAUGCUGUGAGCUCGAUGAGUAGGGCGGGACACGUGGUAUCCUGUCUGAAUAUGGGGGGACCAUCCUCCAAGGCUAAAUACUCCUGACUGACCGAUAGUGAACCAGUACCGUGAGGGAAAGGCGAAAAGAACCCCGGCGAGGGGAGUGAAAAAGAACCUGAAACCGUGUACGUACAAGCAGUGGGAGCCUCUUAAUGGGGUGACUGCGUACCUUUUGUAUAAUGGGUCAGCGACUUAUAUUCUGUAGCAAGGUUAACCGAAUAGGGGAGCCGAAGGGAAACCGAGUCUUAACUGGGCGUUAAGUUGCAGGGUAUAGACCCGAAACCCGGUGAUCUAGCCAUGGGCAGGUUGAAGGUUGGGUAACACUAACUGGAGGACCGAACCGACUAAUGUUGAAAAAUUAGCGGAUGACUUGUGGCUGGGGGUGAAAGGCCAAUCAAACCGGGAGAUAGCUGGUUCUCCCCGAAAGCUAUUUAGGUAGCGCCUCGUGAAUUCAUCUCCGGGGGUAGAGCACUGUUUCGGCAAGGGGGUCAUCCCGACUUACCAACCCGAUGCAAACUGCGAAUACCGGAGAAUGUUAUCACGGGAGACACACGGCGGGUGCUAACGUCCGUCGUGAAGAGGGAAACAACCCAGACCGCCAGCUAAGGUCCCAAAGUCAUGGUUAAGUGGGAAACGAUGUGGGAAGGCCCAGACAGCCAGGAUGUUGGCUUAGAAGCAGCCAUCAUUUAAAGAAAGCGUAAUAGCUCACUGGUCGAGUCGGCCUGCGCGGAAGAUGUAACGGGGCUAAACCAUGCACCGAAGCUGCGGCAGCGAC
rnacentral:rRNA from 1 species